AACGAACGCUGGCGGCAGGCUUAACACAUGCAAGUCGAACGGGUGUAGCAAUACAUCAGUGGCAGACGGGUGAGUAACACGUGGGAACCUUCCUAGGAGUACGGAACAACUCAGGGAAACUUGAGCUAAUACCGUAUACGUCCGUGAGGAGAAAGAUUUAUCGCCCUUAGACGGGCCCGCGUCGGAUUAGGUAGUUGGUGGGGUAACGGCCUACCAAGCCUACGAUCCGUAGCUGAUCUGAGAGGAUGAUCAGCCACACUGGGACUGAGACACGGCCCAGACUCUUACGGGAGGCAGCAGUGGGGAAUCUUGGACAAUGGGCGAAAGCCUGAUCCAGCCAUGCCGUGUGAGUGAAGAAGGCCUUAGGGUUGUAAAGCUCUUUUGCCAGGGACGAUAAUGACGGUACCUGGAGAAUAAGCCCCGGCAAACUUCGUGCCAGCAGCCGCCGCGGUAA
rnacentral:rRNA from 1 species